rnacentral:snRNA from 1 species
GUGCUUAGCACAUAGUAAAUACAGCACAUAUACUAAAAUUGGAACGAUACAGAGAAGAUUAGCAUUGCCCCUGUGCAAGGAUGACAUGCAAAUUCGUGAAGCGUUCCAUAUUUUU